rnacentral:lncRNA from 1 species
GGCCAACCCAAGCUGUACUGUUCAUAUUGGUCUUUCACAGUCAGGCCAACCCAAGCUGUACUGUUCAUAUUGGUCUUUCACAGUCAGGCCAACCCAAGCUGUACUGUUCAUAUUGGUCUUUCACAGUCAGGCCAACCCAAGCUGUACUGUUCAUAUUGGUCUUUCACCGUCAGGCCAACCCAAGCUGUACUGGUCAUAUUGGUCUUUCACAGUCAGGCCAACCCAAGCUGUACUGUUCAUAUUGGUCUUUCACAGACAGGCCAACCCAAGCUGUACUGUUCAUAUUGGUCUUUCACAGUCAGGCCAACCCAAGCUGUACUGGUCAUAUUGGUCUUUCACAGUCAGGCCAACCCAAGCUGUACUGUGCAGUAGGCUAACAGUAGACCUACUAUUGAAACCGAAAAACUGAGUCAGAAAUACACAGGUUUCAGAUUUUCCCCAAUUGUUUCAGGUUCUCGUUUUUCAACACAAUAUUUUUAACAGAAAAACAACCAAAGUGUAUGUUCUAAGUCCAUGACUUUUGAGUUAUGGGGGAAAAAUCUAAGAAAAUUCAAUUUUUUUGAGAGUAGUUACCCUUUAAUUGAAGUGUGCAAGUACCUAGCCCUGUUUGACUAGUAGUGUUUCUCUAGCACAUGAGAUGGAGUUUGCAAAAUAAAUGACCACUGUAUUGACUCAGAUAAUCAUGAUAUCAUUCUGACAGGUAGGCAUAGGCUACUUUUUAGCUAGUUAACGUUCAAUAGAGAAGGUUUUUG